rnacentral:rRNA from 1 species
GUGGGGAAUUGUUCGCAAUGGGCGCAAGCCUGACGACGCAACGCCGCGUGGAGGAUGAAGGUCUUCGGAUUGUAAACUCCUGUUGACCGGGAAGAAUGGACUUCGAUUUAACACAUCGGAGUAAUGACGGUACCGGUUGAGGAAGCCACGGCUAACUCUGUGCCAGCAGCCGCGGUAAUACAGAGGUGGCAAGCGUUGUUCGGAAUUACUGGGCGUAAAGGGCGCGUAGGCGGCCGCCUAAGUCAGACGUGAAAUCCCCAGGCUCAACCUGGGAACUGCGUCUGAUACUGGGGGGCUCGAGUUCGGGAGAGGAAUGUGGAAUUCCAGGUGUAGCGGUGAAAUGCGUAGAUAUCUGGAGGAACACCGGUGGCGAAGGCGGCAUUCUGGACCGAAACUGACGCUGAGGCGCGAAAGCCAGGGGAGCAAACGGGAUUAGAAACCCCAGUAGUCC